GUCGAGGAUCUUCCGCAAUGCGCGAAAGCGUGACGGAGCGACGCCGCGUGGGUGAUGAAGGCCUUCGGGUUGUAAAGCCCUGUCACCUGGGAAGAAUGGCGGGAGGUGAAUAGCCAUCUCGCUUGACGCUACCAGGAGAGGAAGCACCGGCUAAAUACGUGCCAGCAGCCGCGGUAAUACGUAUGGUGCUAACGUUGUUCGGAAUUACUGGGCAUAAAGAGCACGUAGGCGGAUGAGCAAGUCCAUUGUGAAAUCCCCCGGCUUAACCGGGGAACUGCAGUGGAUACUACUUGACUAGAGUGCAGGAGGGGAGAGUGGAAUUCCAGGUGGAGCGGUGAAAUGCGUAGAUAUCUGGAGGAACGCCGGUGGCGAAAGCGACUCUCUGGUCUGCAACUGACGCUGAGGUGCGAAAGCUAGGGGAGCAAACGGGAUUAGAAACCCGGGUAGUCC
rnacentral:rRNA from 1 species